rnacentral:rRNA from 1 species
CGGGCGGACGGGGGAGUAACGCGUGGGUACCGUACCCUCUACACACGGAUAACAUACCGAAAGGUAAUGCUAAUACGGGAUAAUAAUAUUUGUAGAGGCAUCUCUUGAAUAUCAAAGGUGAGCCAGUACAGGAUGGACCCGCGUCUGAUUAGCUAGUUGGUAAGGUAACGGCUUACCAAGGCGACGAUCAGUAGCCGACCUGAGAGGGUGAUCGGCCACAUUGGAACUGAGACACGGUCCAA